UCGUCGUUAAAAGGAGGAAGAAAAAGGGUAUCCCCAGCAGGAAGGGUAAUACACAGCAGGAAGGGGGCGUCCGGCAAGCAACGGACAUCCAGAGGGCCGAUCGUCGUCUCUGCAUUCGAUUCUUGACGAUUCUUCACAUCCGAGAUCUAGGGUCUCUACACUCGAUUCUUGACGAUCGUCUCUGUCUUCCUGCUAGACUUUCAGGUGAGCUCCAGCCUUUCAUUUCCGUAGCAGAGCGUUAAGUAUCACAAAGAGCUCCAAGCUGCUGUGGACGUUGCGGAGAGAGCUAGUCGUCUUUGCGUCGACGUUAAAUCGUCCUUGUUUUCUACUGAUGGAUAGGUUCUCAAAAAGAAGACCAAACUCCAGUAACAAUUGCUGAUUUCGAGUGGAGUACCUGUUUGGUUGCAUUAGGUACCUGGCACUGUCUUCCAAGUGAACAAUGAGCACUUCAAGGUAUGGAAAUGGGGCUUUUGAUGUUUGAGAUGUGGAAAAGUACUACAUACAGAACUUCACAACAUACAUAGUGGACCUGAUGAAGCAGAAGUUUUUGCAUCACAAGGAGGCCCAAUCAUGUUGGCCCAGGCAAGUAAAACUUAAAAUCAGAUAAAUAGUUCAGCGAUGGACAUUUUAAUUAGAUCCUGAAGUUCUUGACAGAUGAUGCUUUAUUUGGAACAGUUUUUGUAGUUCUCCAAAAAUUGAGAAAUUUGCUAAUGUUAAUCCAAUGGCCUUGUUAGUGUGUUUUGGGUUC